ensembl:lincRNA
GUGGGAUGUAGCUAGGUCUUGUACUUAAGGCAUUCAAGCAUGGCUGGAACAAGGUUAGACAAGAUUUAAGGUGAGGCUGAGAAGGGAAAUCUGUGUUGGAGAGACAAAGAAGUGGAGCUGAUGAGGUGAAUCCAUUUCCUACUUUAACUGAUGCAAGUUUGUCUUUCCAUGGACCCUUUCAGCUAGUGGAUGCCCCCAAAUAUCCAUGAGCCAGGGCCCUAAUCACACACAGCCCAAGAUCAUUUAUCUGUGUCAGGCAGGGCUACUAGGUCAGGGUGACUGUGAAGAAAAAUAGGAGUGAGGACUCCUGAGCCUUGACUGUGUAUGUUAUUUGUGUCUAAGUCUAAGCCUGGCUGCUAUGUGGCUAAGUCACAAGGCUAUUUCCAACCUAAGAAAUGCCAUCUGGCCUGAGACUGCUCCUUAGAUAAUUCCAGUGCCUUCUUCCUCCAAAGGGAGGCUGAUUGCAAUGCUACAAGUCCCAGCCUUCGUUAGUCAGCCUCCAUAAAUCAUGGCUGGCACGAAAGACUGGAGGGCCAUGGGUAAUUGAAUUCCAACCAACCUUCACACCUAAUUCAAGUCAACUUUCUGACCCUUCCUGGAUCAAUCUGCUGUCAGAGCUGGACUCAGCAGCCCCAGACCCCAUGACAGGCCUGCCUGGAAACCAAGCCUGAGUUGGGACAGUGCUUAUUCAAGUCACGUUUCAGUAGGACAAUGUCCUGACUUCACUCUGUUUGUAAGCCUCUAUGCUGCUCUCCAGUCUACUGAAUGUACACAUGGUCUGGAUUCCAUUACCAGAACACAACUGUGGCAUUUCACAUUUUCCAAAAAAUAUAGCUCUUCCUUCCUCCUUCAAGAGGCCACAUCACACCCCACGACUAUUUCUUAUUCUCAGACAGUUGCAACCAAGCUCACGGGAUGAUAAGAGGCCCCUGUAAUGUAGCCAGUGGCCUGGGGACCCCAAGCAGCCCGGAAAACUGUGUUUAGGUGGGAAUGUUAAUGGAAUUAUCCCUUGCUGCUGGCUGUCACUUCUGUCUCUGUCGGAAUGGCUGCCAAGUCUCCCGUCCCAUCUUCCCUCCAGUUCUGUAUUUCUGUUUUAUCGAGAAACUAUUUGCAUCCAACCCCGUGUGGUCACGACUGGGCUUCUUAAGUCAUCCCCACAGGGCUUUGCAUUGGAGAGGUUCCCGACCUUCUCUGGACAGUCUGUAAGUAAUCAUUGUUUUUCUCCACUCUAGGUUCUUUCUCCCCAAACUCUUAAAAGCUACAUCAGAAAACCUGAAAGGAUGUAUUGGUGCACAUCUGUCAGACUCAAUAAUUGUUAACAUUUUUCUACCACGUGUGCAUGCAUGUUUGUCCCCAGUUUCUACAUCUUUUAGACAGAGUCUCCUGUUCCUUGAUGCAUAUAUAGCUAGCUGGCCACAAGAUCCAGGCUACUCCUGUCUCCAUCUCCCAUCUUGUCUUAGGAAGUCUGAGAUAAUAGGUGAGCUACCAUGUCCAGUUACAUGGUCCUGGGAAUCCAAACAUGGGAGCUCAUGCUUGACCCAUUUCCCCAGCCCCUGUUAUUUCUUCUAUAGACAUUCUCUUGUUUGUUUUUUAGUAUGAGCAAGCUUCACACGUUGUAUUUGUAGUAAUGCUUUUUAAUCAUUUUAGCAUACUACCUUCAUUCCCCCCCCCUUUGUUUAGUUUUUGGACAGCUGAAUUGUUUUCUCUCCCUAAGGGUUCUGUCUAUUCUCAGCCAGCACUUAGCAAGAUGGGGAGGAAUGGCUCCAGAAUUUCUACUCUGGGCGACUUCAGAGGGAAUGAAGUCUGUGAGGAGUGGGAGUAAUUGUUUUCUCAUGACAAAACCAGAACAAGCCUAGAUUGUUGAUUUAUUUGUCAGGGCCACUGCCUUGAGGCAAUCAAAACUGUAGGGAGGCGAUACAUGGAACUGUGGAUGGUAGAGACAGAACAAGCUGUCUAGGUUCAGACCUCAGCUUUGCCUCUUCCAAGAUGUAUGGCCUUGGAGAAGUUACUUAAAAGCUCCAUUACUUGGCUUUAUCAUCUGUAAACUGAUGAUGUAAUCAUCUGAAAUCCAAUUCACAGAGUUGUACUAUAAAGAAAAAAAAAAUCAGAGCGAAUAUGUCCAGGAACAGUGUUGUCCAUAUGUGGAGGAUGUCAUGACCAUCACCACUUCUGCCUGCUGCCCACUUCCUCCUUGCAUCACUUCCUGGAACUGGGUCAGGCAUCUGGCCUUUCCAUCUGCUUUAUCACCUUUAACUGUGUGUUCAGUUUACUUCUGAGGACAGGGAGCUUCUUGUGAGUUGUUUUAAUACCACACCCCCUUUCUCCUCCAAGUCUGUUCUUUCCCCAAACCUAUCCAAUUCUAUUUUCUUCUAUUGGGUUGAAUGUCCAGGUUCAUGUUCUUCCUUUGGCCUGCUAAAACAUAGAUUCAUCCUAGAACUUAAGACCCAGAUACAUCUGUUGUUUGUGGUACAGGAACACUGGACUAUUUAAGUGAUCCUUAACACUUCUAGGUUCCCCGAUCCAUCCAUUCAGUCCUCUGUAGCCAGUCAGCAACACACUUUUGUCCCUCUGGAGAUGCUGGACAUGGGGCUAUAGACAGUGGUGAGUACACAGAGAUAAGAACUAGUCAGUCACUCAGAGUGAAUCUGAGCCAAGGUAUUGAAAUUCCCUGCACUCUAACCAUACAUGCGAAAUCUGGGAGAUUGUCUGGAGAGGAUGGUGUGUUCAUUGUGCUGAGAUGAUGACCACUGGUGGGCCACCGCAGUAGUGAGACUCAGGCCCUGAUCUCCUCUACAACCUUGAAACACUUCUUCUAGAGUCAGUUCCAUGAAACCAAGGCUGGCAAGAUGGCUUCCCAGGUAAAGGCAUUAGCUGUGCAACCUAGCAACCUGAGUUCCCUCCCUGAGCCCACAUAAAGGCUGAAGGAACCAACCCUAUAGCAUCAUCCUCUGACCUCAACAUGCAUAUCAUGAUGUAGGCAACCCCUCCCACAUAUCAUGCACACACACAAUAAUAUUAACAGUAGACUUUAAAGAUGUUAAUAAAGUAUCUACAAAAAUCUUCCUCUGAAGAAUUGGAGUAACAGUACUGCCUUCUAGGGUUGUCACAAACACCAACUGAGUUAAUAUCAAUAACUUCUCUGAGAACAGAGCAAUAAGUGUGGUAACCAUGAAUAAGGAUGUAGUAAGGUUAGGAUAGAGUCAAAAGAGAAUGAAGUUCAGAGCAGCUGAGCUUUGAGGGAUGCUGAGCGGGGAAAGGCAGGUGUAUGAGGCUGGGCUCAAGGAGCAAACCAGGCAAGGGUCACUCGAGGAAGCUGUAGAAAGGGCAAAGGAC